CCCAGACUCCUACGGGAGGCAGCAGUGAGGAAUAUUGGUCAAUGGGCUUACGCCUGAACCAGCCAAGUCGCGUGAGGGAAGACUGCCCUAUGGGUUGUAAACCUCUUUUGUCAGGGAGCAAUUGGCGCUACGUGUAGCGUUAUCGAGAGUACCUGAAGAAAAAGCAUCGGCUAACUACGUGCCAGCAGCCGCGGUAAUACGUAGGUGGCAAGCGUUGUCCGGAUUUACUGGGUGUAAAGGGCGUGUAGCCGGGAAGGCAAGUCAGAUGUGAAAUCCGGAGGCUCAACCUCCGAAUUGCAUUUGAAACUGUUUUUCUUGAGUACUGGAGAGGCAGAUGGAAUUCCUUGUGUAGCGGUGAAAUGCGUAGAUAUAAGGAGGAACACCAGUGGCGAAGGCGGUCUGCUGGACAGCAACUGACGGUGAGGCGCGAAAGCGUGGGGAGCAAACAGGAUUAGAUACCCCAGUACAC
rnacentral:rRNA from 1 species